ACGUAUUAUAAUAAGGGGCUUACGAUAAUUUAAUAAAUAAUAUGAAUUGUAAUUAAUAUCAAUUGGUUGGUUGAAUCACCCAGGAACAUAGUAUUAUAAGGUUAAUACUUUAUCACAAACAGCGCUUGUUAUUUGCGAUAAAUUAAAAAAUAUCUCAAUGAAGUUAAAAAAUAAUAAUUGUUCUAAUCUAGUUAAAGGUAAAAGAUAAUUAAUAAUUUAACAAUCUAUGG